UACGGAGGGGGCUAGCGUUGUUCGGAAUUACUGGGCGUAAAGCGCACGUAGGCGGACCAGCAAGUUAGGGGUGAAAUCCCGGGGCUCAACCCCGGAACUGCCUUUAAAACUGUUGGUCUGGAGGUCGAGAGAGGUGAGUGGAAUUCCGAGUGUAGAGGUGAAAUUCGUAGAUAUUCGGAGGAACACCAGUGGCGAAGGCGGCUCACUGGCUCGAUACUGACGCUGAGGUGCGAAAGCGCGGGGAGCGAACGGG
rnacentral:rRNA from 1 species